GGAUCAGUCGGGAUAAAAUGACAUAACAAGGCAAAACUAAUGAUCAGCCGGAUGGAGUUUAGAGCCAGCUGAGCAGGACAAAGACCGUAAUAGUCAAGAAGAUUUCGGACAAACUCCGAAAUUAAAAAUCAAAGACCGGCCUGAAGAUCCUCGACAUAAAAUACAACCUGUUCCGAAGGAGAGAAAUUAACCCGACUGUUCGAGCCAGGAGCGGAAAGCUAAUAUUACUCUGAAAUACGGCACUAUUCCCGAAGCCGUUCGACAUUGGGUCUGGAUAAGGAGGAGACUUCCGUCUCCGAAUCUAAAGGAGAAUCGUCAAUCGGAUUCUCUGACCAACUAUCCCAAGAAGAUGAAGCUUUUUUACUCCUACUUGCCAUUGAAAAUGAGAAUAAAAAAAAAAUCUAAAAAGGAGGGAAUGGGAACUCGAUUGGAGCUAUAGAUUUCGUAAGGAACAAGAAAAUUUGGGAAGCUCCUAACACUGCGGCAGAAUUUUCUAUUGCAGAGGAGAGUGAUGAAUGCAAAAGUAAAAAAUCUAGAUGAAAGUGACUUUAGAUAUAUAGGAUCCCUCAACAGUCCGGAUGAAGUCAC
rnacentral:lncRNA from 1 species